GUCUUUAAGAAUAUAAUUUAAAGUCAAAUCUGCUCAAUGAUUAAAAAUUAAAUAGCUGCGGUAUAUUGACCGUACAAAGGUAGCAUAAUCAAUAGUUUUUUAAUUGAAAGCUGGAAUGAAUGAUUAAAUGAAAUAUAAACUGUCUCAAAUUUAAUAAAUAAAUUUUUUUUAUUAAUUAAAAAAUUAAUAUGAAUUUAUAAGACGAGAAGACCCUAUAGAUUUUUAUUAAUAAUAAUUAUAAAUUAAAAUUUAUUAAAUUAUUAAAUAUAGUUAAAUUAAUUUGAUUGGGGAGAUUAAAAAAUAAAAAAAACUUUUAUAACUUUAAAGACAAAAAUAAUUGAAUAAUUGAUCUUAAAUUUUAGAUAAAAAGAAUAAAUUACCUUAGGGAUAACAGCGUAAUUUUAUUGGAGAGAUCAUAUUGAUAAUAAAGAUUGC
rnacentral:rRNA from 1 species